GGGCUUGUAGCUCAGGGGCAGGGCUUCUGCUUUGCAUGCAGAAGAUCCCAGGUUCAACCCCCAGUAUAUCCCAGGUAGGGCCA